CAGCCGCCGCGGGAAUACAGAGGGUGCGAGCGUUAAUCGGAUUUACUGGGCGUAAAGCGUGCGUAGGCGGCUUCUUAAGUCGGAUGUGAAAUCCCUGAGCUUAACUUAGGAAUUGCAUUCGAUACUCGGAAGCUAGAGUAUGGGAGAGGAUGGUAGAAUUCCAGGUGUAGCGGUGAAAUGCGUAGAGAUCUGGAGGAAUACCGAUGGCGAAGGCAGCCAUCUGGCCUAAUACUGACGCUGAGGUACGAAAGCAUGGGGAGCAAAAAGGAUUAGAUACCCCUGUAGUCCCUGUCUCUUAUAC
rnacentral:rRNA from 1 species